CAAUACAUCUUGUUUACGUGUAUUUAUAACAAUCUGAUUUAUUAUUUUAUUUCUUCAUGAUAUGGACGACGAAGACGAUUAUUGGAAUACCAGUGAAACCAAAGCUAAAGCUUUUAGCUUUGACGAUGAUGUCCUCACGCCUCAGGAAAUCUUGGCUAUCGGCCAGAACAAGUCACCGGGGCAAGCGGACGACAGCCUGUUCUCGGGUGCCAGCAUCAGUAAUGUGAAGACGGCGACCCUCCCAGUGUCCAGUUUGGUCUCUAAUAAAGUGCUGGAGUUGAUUCUCCUCGCUCAAUCCGGAAAGGAUCCCAAAGCGGCCCAGCCCCAAGAACAAACCGUGUCGACAACCAUCAGGAGACUGGUUCUAGGCCGGCCCUGCUCGCUGCACAGCCACAGGAGUCUGCGGAGCAAGACCGAGCUGCUAGAUGCUGCCGGGGCCGUGGGAGACGGCAAUGCCAUUUUAACUGUAGUAUUAUUCCUGAUUCAAACCCUGAACAAGAAACUAGUGUACGAGCUAUUGUCCUCACGGCCCCUCGCCCUCAACCACUAUAUUAGUUUCCUUCAAAAUGAGGGCAAAAUAUCGGAGCUCACUGACCUGCUUACAAUGCUGGGCAGAUCUCCAGAUGCAGCCAUGCACCAAUUUCAACAGCACAUGCGAACGGGCGGCUCCGUGGAUGGCUUACUGCGGAAGGUAACCAACCUGGUUGCCAACCACUUCAACCAACCAGGGACAGACGCGCACCAGGCGAAGAUGUUAGCAGACUUCGUCAAAUUACUCGAAUGGCAGAAAUUCGCGCAGAAACCCGUUCUCGAUAACAAGUCAGCAUUAUACUGUCUGGCAUACUGCUGUGCCAGUCACUGGCACGAAGGAGCCGGCAAUAUGAUGUCACCUCUCACUCUGUGCCAGAGACAGCAGAUAAGUCCACUUCAGUACGACUGGGUUGUAUUGAAUGUGCACGCUAAGUCCGGAAAGUGGGAUAUCGUCGAGUCCUUGUUUACGAAAAAGGACUGGCUCGGCCGAACUACCGUAUCCUCCCACAUACCAAUAGAGACCCUCCUAUCAAGACUGAGCGAGAUGCAAGCGAGUAAGCAGUUGCUUGCCACUUGCGUCAAUAAGGUUGCCGCGUCACAGGACAGGUUGCGACUGGCACAGGCAUUUAAGGUAAGGAUAUACACAAGAGCAAGACAGAGACGCCAGUAGAGACCCUACUAUCAAGACUGAGCGAGAUGCAAGCGAGUAAGCAGUUGCUUGCCACUUGCGUCAAUAAGGUUGCCGCGUCACAGGACAGACUACGAUUAGCACAGGCGUUUAAGAUACAUUCCGUGGUAAUAGAAACUUAUGCGAAGCAGAAAGAUAGACUGGCGCUACAGAACUAUAAGAUGACAUUGAAUCCUCAAUCAGAAGAAUUUAUACUAGUCGAGAAUACGCUUAGAGACAACUCCAUCAAAUGGAAAAACUGAAUUUGGCAGAACUCACGGAACAAGAUACAGGAUAAGAAAAAUCUCAAGAAACACUACUGCUCUCUUAUGUAAGGUGAAUUCGGGUAAUUCCAAAUGUCAAAAACCGUUGGAUUAUCCGAUAUACGAAAGUACCCGAAUACACCCUCAUAUAUUAUCGAUUUUAUACUUGGAAAAGCUAUUGAAUUGUAUUUUAAUAUUUUAAGUGUACUCCAAAUAUUUAUAUACCUAAGUACUGACUUUAAAUAAAUGGCUAUUUUAUUUCUAUUAA